GGCGGUUCUUGGGUGACGCACCCCAGAAUCAGGCUCCCUCCUGUCUGGCUCCAGGGUACGUCACCCAAGAACCGCU
rfam:Myotis brandtii contig154160, whole genome shotgun sequence.